CCAGCAGCUGCGGUAAUUCCAGCUCCAAUAGCGUAUAUUAAAGUUGUUGCAGUUAAACAGUUCGUAGUUGAAUGUCUGGGCCCAGCCGCGGUCGGCCUUCGUGUCUGUACUAGCGGUAAAAUGUCACUGGCGCCCAUCCGUAUGCAGGGGGGACCUCGGUGGGGCAAUCUGCUGGGGGACACUCCCAUCCCUGCACCAAUUACCGUGAACAAAUUAGAGUGUUCAAAGCGGGCAGGACUGCUUGAAUACAUUAGCAUGGAAUAAUGAGAUAGGACUGUACUGGUGCUAUUUCGUUGGUUGCGUACCAGAGUAAUGAUUAACAGGGACAGUUGGGGGUAUUCAUAUUUGAAUGUCAGAGGUGAAAUUCUUGGAUUUUUCAAAGAUGAACAACUGCGAAAGCAUUUACCAAGGAUGCUUUCAUUGAUCAAGAACGAAAGG
rnacentral:rRNA from 1 species